rnacentral:piRNA from 1 species
UAGCUUUUUGGUGGGUCUCUGUGUCC